CAACACAAAAAGCAGAUUGAACUGUUGAACCCGGUUUCGCGCCUCUUCUCCGCAGUUUGAGCGGCGCGCUGCUCUCCUGCUUCAGUGACUCAGGAAACGCCACAGAGGGAACGACAGCCUCCUGACAUGACAGCUCUUCUUGAGAGAGAAUCAUGUCAGCCCACAGACAACCGGUUGACCUGUGAGUCUUCAAGCAGUAAUGAUGACUACGCCUGCCUUAAGUUCCAGUUUCCUGAACAUCAUGUCGGCAUGAGAUUCUGUCCCCACCUGUCUUCAGUCUGGACCCAAUGAUUCGGACACCAGUCUUGUCGAGGCUAAAUUGAGAUCAAGCAUUGACG